rnacentral:rRNA from 1 species
UACGUAGGGUGCGAGCGUUAAUCGGAAUUACUGGGCGUAAAGCGUGCGCAGGCGGUUCGUUGAGUUCGAUGUGAAAGCCCCGGGCUCAACCUGGGAAUUGCGGUUGAAACUGGCGAACUAGAAUCUGGCAGAGGGGGGUGGAAUUCCACGUGUAGCAGUGAAAUGCGUAGAGAUGUGGAGGAACACCGAUGGCGAAGGCAGCCCCCUGGGCUGAGAUUGACGCUCAGGCACGAAAGCGUGGGGAGCAAACAGG